rnacentral:rRNA from 1 species
AGAGUGGCGCACGGGUGCGUAACGCGUAUGCAACCUACCCUAUACAGGGGGAUAGCCCGGAGAAAUCUGGAUUAAUACCCCAUAGCACUAUGUUGAGGCAUUUCGAUAUAGUUAAAGAUUCAUCGGUAUAGGAUGGGCAUGCGUCUGAUUAGCUAGUUGGCGGUGUAACGGACCACCAAGGCGACGAUCAGUAGGGGUUCUGAGAGGAAGGUCCCCCACACUGGCACUGAGAUACGGGCCAGACUCCUACGGGAGGCAGCAGUAGGGAAUAUUGGGCAAUGGACGAGAGUCUGACCCAGCCAUGCCGCGUGCAGGAAGACGGCGUUCUGCGUUGUAAACUGCUUUUAUCUGGGAAGAAAAGGCCCAUGCGUGGGACAUUGCCGGUACCAGAUGAAUAAGCACCGGCUAACUCCGUGCCAGCAGCCGCGGUAAUACGGAGGGUGCAAGCGUUGUCCGGAUUUAUUGGGUUUAAAGGGUGCGUAGGCGGCUAUUUAAGUCAGUGGUGAAAGACUCCGGCUCAACCGGAGCAGUGCCAUUGAUACUGGAUAGCUUGAGUAUUGGAGAGGUACAUGGAAUUGAUGGUGUAGCGGUGAAAUGCAUAGAUACCAUCAGGAACACCGAUAGCGAAGGCAUUGUACUGGCCAAUAACUGACGCUGAUGCACGAAAGCAUGGGGAGCGAACAGGAUUAGAUACCCUGGUAGUCCAUGCCGUAAACGAUGAUUACUCGCUGUUAUGGCUUUAUGUUGUAGC